rnacentral:rRNA from 1 species
CAGCCGCCGCGGGAAUACGAGGGGGGCAAGCGUUGUUCGGAAUUACUGGGCGUAAAGCACACGUAGGCGGCUUGGUAAGUUAGAGGUGAAAGCCCGGAGCUCAACUCCGGAAUUGCCUUUAAGACUGCCGAGCUAGUAGGUGAGAGAGGUAAGUGGAAUUCCGAGUGUAGAGGUGAAAUUCGUAGAUAUUCGGAAGAACACCAGUGGCGAAGGCGGCUUACUGGCUCAUUCUAGACGCUGAGGUGCGAAAGCGUGGGGAGCAAACAGGAUUAGAUACCCCCGUAGUCCCUGUCUCUUAUAC